rnacentral:rRNA from 1 species
GACACGCUGGCGGCGUGCUUAACACAUGCAAGUCGAACGGUGACGAGGAGCUUGCUCCUCUGAUCAGUGGCGAACGGGUGAGUAACACGUGAGCAACCUGCCCCAGACUCUGGGAUAACAGUUGGAAACAGCUGCUAAUACCGGAUACGAGACGGAGAGGCAGUCUCUACCGUCUGGAAAGUUUUUCGGUCUGGGAUGGACUCGCGGCCUAUCAGCUAGUUGGUGAGGUAAUGGCUCACCAAGGCGACGACGGGUAGCCGGCCUGAGAGGGCGACCGGCCACACUGGGACUGAGACACGGCCCAGACUCCUACGGGAGGCAGCAGUGGGGAAUAUUGCACAAUGGGCGAAAGCCUGAUGCAGCGACGCCGCGUGAGGGAUGACGGCCUUCGGGUUGUAAACCUCUUUCAGCAGGGAAGAAGCGAAAGUGACGGUACCUGCAGAAGAAGCACCGGCUAACUACGUG